CGCAGCCGCGGUAAUUCCAGCUCCAAUAGCGUAUAUUAAAGUUGUUGCAGUUAAAAAGCUCGUAGUUGAAUUUCGGGAUUCUACCGUCGGUCGGGCUAACAAGUCUGUACUGGUGUGUAGAAUUUCUACCUUCUGGGGAACUAUCAUGUUAUUAAUUUAGCGUGGUGGGAAACCAGGACCUUUACCUUGAAAAAAUUAGAGUGUUCAAAGCAGGCUUACGUCUGAAUACAUUAGCAUGGAAUAAUAGAAUAGGACGGUGGUCCUGUUUUGUUGGUUUCUGAAUCACCGUAAUGAUUGAUAGGGAUAGUUGGGGGCAUUAGUAUUCAAUUGUCAGAGGUGAAAUUCUUGGAUUUAUUGAAGACUUAACUUCUGCGAAAGCAUUUGCAAGGAUGUUUUCAUUAAUCAAGAACGAAAGUUAGGGAUCGAAGACGAUCAGAUACCGUCGUAGUCUUAACCAUAAACUNUGCCGACUAGGGAUUCGGGACGUAUAGUUAAAUUUUAGUGUACUUCGUUCGGCGUC
rnacentral:rRNA from 1 species